rnacentral:rRNA from 1 species
UACGUAGGGUGCGAGCGUUAAUCGGAAUUACUGGGCGUAAAGCGUGCGCAGGCGGUUGUGCAAGACAGGUGUGAAAUCCCCGGGCUUAACCUGGGAACUGCACUUGUGACUGCAUAGCUGGAGUACGGCAGAGGGGGAUGGAAUUCCGCGUGUAGCAGUGAAAUGCGUAGAUAUGUGGAGGAACAUCGAUGGCGAAGGCAGUCCCCUGGGCCGAUAUUGACGCUCAGGCACGAAAGCGUGGGGAGCAAACAGG